CUUCCAGGCCUGCCUGCCCCUGCUGCCUCAUGGAACGCUUGUCUCCACAGGAUGCUCUCACUUAAUGCUGAUGCUGUUGGUGUCACUGUUACGGUGUGUCCCUCAUUACCAGCUGCUCCAGCAUAAGCCAGACAAUAGUAGGAUCUGAAGAGCAGAGGGGCGAGCAGGCCUUGCGGCAGUGUGCCCCCCCCCAUGCCCCACAUGGAACGGCUGAGCCCGGGCUCGUGCUGUGCAGCACCCACAGACAUCACAGCGAGCAGCGACCACUUUCCAGAAACAGGCCGUUUGUUAGCACGUGCUCGCUCAAAAGUAAACAGCUCGUUAAGCCCCAUUUCCUUUAUUGUUUCACGUAGCACCUAUGGAGAAUCACAAUGAAAGUUAUCCUUCCGGAAGCCGCGGUGUAAACGCUUUGCACGCACAGGAAUUCAAAUAACGCAAUCACCGCCGCAUCUUAUGAGGCUCUGCAGCACGUCCUGCAACACCACCUUCCCCUCCUCAGAUGCUGCAGCGCUGUUGCAGUCACUGUCCGGCAAACACAACGUGGAACAAGAAGCAAAACCACCCGGGCUUACAGCGCGAACCUACACUACAACAUACAAUCGUGUCUGUGACACAUGGGCUCAGGUUCCCGACUGUGAGGCACGCGGAAAAUGGAGAAUUCUUUUCUGCAAUCGCCAAAAAAAGGUUCUGUUCCCCGAUUUUCACAAGUCCGGCUCCUGACGAUAUGUGCGUGUAUCUAUUUGUCGUUAUGCGGGCACACCCGCGAGCCGCGCUCCGGGCACGGCAGUGAGGAGAGCUCUGAAGAGAAACGGCCACGCGCGGCUCCUUUGUCUGCCGGGCCGGGCCCCGCCCGCGCGGCCUCACACGACCCCGUCCGCCGCCCCUCCCUCGCUCUCCGCCUCUCCUCGCUCAGGCUCUCGGCCGUGCCUGCAGGGGGGCGGAGGCCUAUUUUUAGACGCCCUCAGGAGGCCUCUCCGCUGAGAGCUCCCGCGCUCCGCGAGGUUGUC
ensembl:lncRNA